rnacentral:rRNA from 1 species
GGUGAACGCUGGCGGCGUGCCUAAUACAUGCAAGUCGAGCGAACAGACGAGGAGCUUGCUCCUCUGACGUUAGCGGCGGACGGGUGAGUAACACGUGGAUAACCUACCUAUAAGACUGGGAUAACUUCGGGAAACCGGAGCUAAUACCGGAUAAUAUAUUGAACCGCAUGGUUCAAUAGUGAAAGACGGUUUUGCUGUCACUUAUAGAUGGAUCCGCGCCGCAUUAGCUAGUUGGUAAGGUAACGGCUUACCAAGGCAACGAUGCGUAGCCGACCUGAGAGGGUGAUCGGCCACACUGGAACUGAGACACGGUCCAGACUCCUACGGGAGGCAGCAGUAGGGAAUCUUCCGCAAUGGGCGAAAGCCUGACGAAGCAACGCCGCGUGAGUGAUGAAGGUCUUCGGAUCGUAAAACUCUGUUAUUAGGAAAGAACAAAGGUGUAAGUAACUAUGCACGUCUUGACGGUACCUAAUCAGAAAGCCACGGCUAACUACGU